ACCCCGCGGUCGGGUGCUUGGGGGUCCCUUUGCUCCCUCCUCGCUGUGGACUACACGCGGGAAGCGGACGCGAGGGCCGGGGAGAGAUGCUGUGCGUCUCGCUGCCACCCGUCGGGUACCGCUUCUCAUCAAAUGACCAACGCUGUGGUGUGUUCAGGUCAAAGCACUCCGCCAGUGCUAGCUCUGCUGAGCCCACCGGGUGUUGUUUACUGUCUUCCUGGGCAAGGACCUGCAGCCGUUUCCCUAAAGAAACCCCUUUAGGAGCAGCGUAGGAGUCUCACCGCAUGCAGACCCAAACCAGGGGGUGCCAACCGAGCAGCCUCUGGCAAAGGAAACCAGCUCCUGGGAAAUACAAAAUUCAUGUUGACCCUUGUCAAUGCUUUGGUGUCGGAAGGAGCCGUGCUGCAGCAGUCCCCAGGCUGGGGAUAUUCCCUCAUCUGUGGAGGUUAUGCCUGAAGACAGUGGCAGGGGAAGGGGAGGCACAGACUGAACCGUGUGAUGGUGACAGCCGUCAUGUUAAUUCCACUUUUUUUCCCCUAUUCUGUUUUUUGUUGGGUUUACUGUGGAGGGAGUGAAAUGCAUAGAGGGGAAGAGGCGGGUAUCAAAGAAGAGGAGGAAAAGGCAGGCUGUCAGUGGUUUUAUAUCGAAAAGUUGGCUGUAGGCUGGGUCUUCUCUAUUAAAUAGAAGGGCACCCUCAGCGUGAAUUCAACUCCAUCUCAGAAAACAUCCCCACAUGCUGCAAGUGUUCCUUUCCCUUUGCAUUUCCAUUUUUGCAUUUUAAAAACUCUGUAAUUUUAAAAAGCCACUUUUCCUAUCCGUGGUACAGAGUGAGAGACAGGCGCAGCAAGGGCAAGCUGCUGACUUUCCCCGGGGAAACAAAGUAUUUCUCUAAGUGAGCAGUGCUAGGGCAUACAGCGCUUCCCUGGCACCGGAGCCAGCCCUGGUGUCCACACCCUUUCUCGGUCCCAAAUUAACUCAGUUAUUUUGCUGAGUAAAAGAUGAUUAAACAAGCAGUAAGAUGUUAUCAUUAGAGGCUUCCUAUUAAACUACGACUAUAAAUACUGGCACAGGGAGGAUAAAGCUUCCUCAAGCUAAGCAUGUCAGCAGCUAAUGUUUCCUUAAACAUUGUCCACAAAAUGCAUUGGCUGACCAAAAUGUUUAUCAGUGCUACCUCUUAGGAAACCAAACUGGUUUAUUUUCAGUUCCUCUGACUGCUUUAUAUUUAGUGCAGUAAUGUGGUUACCUUUUACAUAAAACUGCAUCUUUAAACAGAUUCCCCAAAUGAUUUUCAACACCACAAAGGCAAAAGACCAAUACAAAAGAAUGCCGAGGCUGAAAAAGAAGCAUUCACCAGCCAGAGCACAGCAAAAACCUCUCACCCGUAGCACAUUUUGAUUCCUUUGCAGCUUAAUCAUAAUUCUGGAUUCCCUUAUUUGAAACGCUAGUUCUGGGAUUAAUUAAAUCAGCUGGUCCAAUCCUUGAGCUAUUGAUGUGCACACUUACUCUUUCUUAAUGUAGAGUGGGAUUUUUUUCUAUACACAGGAGCAGUGGUAGCAAGCCGGAGGAAUGCCAGCGUGCCAUAGCGAACAAAGAGCUCUAAAGCAGAAGUGAAUGUUGGAGCAUUGCUCCUCCCCACUGAUGCCAACGCUGCCCUGGCACAGGGAAUCAUGCUCCUGCCCCUCCUGCCACCACACGUGCACGGCUGCUGGUGUGGGCAAAUGCCAGCAAGGCAGGAGGGAACCAGGAGCGAUGGCAGACUAAAAAUAUUAGCGCAUUUAAAAGCAGAAAAUGUGGGCAUUGCCUUUAUCCUGGGUAUUUUAUCUAUGCCAACUGAGCAGCAAAAAAGUCCUUUAGGAAAGCCAAGCUGAAACUGUGCAAACAGUGUAGAUAACAACCCUCCACGCUCGCUGCGGAUGAAACAAAAUAAAUUUGCAAUACUUCGGGAGGUGCUGGUUUGCUGCUGAAUUUCCAAAGUCCGGAGAGAUUUAUUCAUUUUGGGCCUGAGCCCAAAGCCAUCGCAGGCAAGGGGAGUCUUGGCUGGGGCGGAGGGUCAACCUUUUUAUGGCAGGGCUGGUCUACGGUGAUCAGAAAAGAGCUGCUUCCGUUCAGCCGGCGUCUCCUUCGCAUGGGGAAACGCGCAAAUGUUGCUCUCACUGUCGUUAAUGGGAAUUAUGGUUGCAGUUUAACUUCCUCACAUGCCAAGGUAUCCCACAGGUAACAGCCCGGGUGUGUGUAUACAAAUUAGUUCUUAAAGUUGCACGCAUUUCCCCUCUUUAUAAAAGAAGACCAGGCACUCUAUAACUGCUGAGAACAGGCUGUCUGAAAGGUGUUUUAUUAACUAAAGUUGGGGAAGAAAAUGAAACUGAAAAGAAUACGACUACAUAUUAAACUACAUGAAGUGGUCAUGACAACUGGGGAUCUCGGUAUCAUAAAAUUUUAACAGCUGGAUGCAAUCAAUGGGGAUUUUCCAUUUUUCUUUUUUUUGUUAAGCUUAAGAAAGAGAGAGAGGAAGAAAAAAAAAAAGAAAAGCUUCAUUUUACUCGAGCAAGCUCUUUAUCCAGCUCAGCUUUCUUUGCUUAAUAUCAGAAGUUGUCUUUACUUCUCUAUAAAUCUCAGCACUGCCUGUGCUCAGCUGACGCUGUCCCUUUCCCGGGGCAGGGAUUCCACAACAGGAGGUGUUCAAUAUCCCCAACAGCAGCACGACAAGGAAUGGAAACCAGAGAAAUGCACUUUAUAAGGAGAUUUCCCCAGCAUGUAUAAAAUUUUCAGAACUUAAGAGUAAUUAAUUAACAUCAAAUUUUGCCUCAAAAUUCAUCAAGACUCAUUUGUGCCUGAAACCCCACAGUAGUUCUUCAGCAAAAGGACUAAGUUCCAGUCUCCAUCGAGGACUGCCUUAUUCAUUCAGGGAGCAAUGGGAUAUUUUUCAGCACAACCUACAACAGCAUCCACACAGCUGAAGAAAAUCUGCUGCUCUCGCUGCAUUUUCAGCCCAUCCAAACCCCACUUGUCUCCGAAGUCACAGAUUUUCCAGAGCAGAGGUUGGGCUCUGGAUAAACUCCUAAGCCGCAGUUUAGAGAACUGCUGAUGGCCUUUGCCUCUCCCGAGGGAUUCGACGCUGCGUGCUCAUGCUGGGGCUCAGAGCAAGGCAGUAUGGAGCACUGAAGCUGCAAAAAGAGCAGAUGUCAGUCUGGGGAGUUUUCACCUUCAGUCUCCCAAUUCCUUCAAUGGGUUGCCCUAAACCUUGUUUUCCAUGUUUCUCCCACAAAAGUCAUUUGGAAACACCCGUAGGCAGGCCAAAAUAAACAUCAGCAGAUGGUGACUGGAAAAUGUCAUGGGCUGCCCUUUGCCCAGGUGCUUGGGAAGGGAGCGGAGCGCACCACAGGGAGACCUGGCAGUGCCCAUAGCAGUGAGCUGUGAAGAAAUCAACUGGUGGGCGACGAAAUGCUGGCUGGACUUGGUGACUGCUGAGAGCUGGGAUGGGGAUCUGGUCUCUGAAUUUGGGGGAAUGUGUCCGGACUGUGACGGACUCCUGAAUUGUGUGCUUGUUUCAAUACCAAGUAUCUGUGAAUUAAAGUGAGCCAUUGCUAAAUGAUAUUGUGAAGCUGCUGCAAAUGUCUUGGGCAGGGAUGGGAGCUCAGAGCCACCAGCAGAGAAUAAAAUGAUCAGAGGGAAGAUCCAAGAAAUGUGCUUGUCUAUAGAAGACCAGUUCAUAGGUGGACCGGACCACAGCGUUUGAACUACAUGAUGUAUUUUAGAGGCUAGUAGGAGGCACUGGGCAGCGAGAAGGCUUUGUCUCCUAUUCCAAGAGAAACUGCUACCUCAGAGGGUCCUCGGGAAAAUCACCGACCCUUGCCAUCCAUCACCCAAAACGAACUAACAGAACCCAAGUGAAAAACCCGGGCAGCCUGCGAAUAAACCCUCCGGGGGGAUAUGCUUGAUUGAGAAUGAGGAUCACACUCGCACCUGAUGUAAAUCACCAGAGAGUCCCAGACAUCAGUGGGGUGGACACGGAGUGCGCUGUGUGGGAACUGGCCCAUAGGCUCCGAGCAGAUUUUUUCCCUUAAGGCCAAGGC